rnacentral:misc_RNA from 1 species
GAUGAAGAACGUAGCGAAAUGCGAUAAGUAGUGUGAAUUGCAGAAUUCAGUGAAUCAUCGAAUCUUUGAACGCACAUUGCGCCCCUUGGUAUUCCAUGGGGCAUGCCUGUUCGAGCGUCAUUUGUACCCUCAAGCUCUGCUUGGUGUUGGGUGUUUGUCUCGCCUCUGCGUGUAGACUCGCCUCAAAAUAAUUGGCAGCCGGCGUAUUGAUUUCGGAGCGCAGUACAUCUCGCGCUUUGCACUCAUAACGACGACGUCCAAAAGUACAUUUUUACACUCUUGACCUCGGAUCAGGUAGGGAUACCCGCUGAACUUAAGCAUAUCAAUAAGCGGAGGA